UGCACCUAACCAAGAGUCCCACUUGUAAAGGACUCUAAUCCAUGUGUCACAUCUCAUCUUAUUUUCAAAUUAUUUUCAUGCCAUCAACAAGUUAGCAUCUCAAUUUUGGAUAGACAAAAGUCGCUGAUGGGUGGUGGAGAAAAAUUACAUCAUGGGAAACUGUACAAUGCAUCGAAGAAUCAUCGAGAAAAAUAUUUUGAAGAGUCCU
rnacentral:lncRNA from 1 species